rnacentral:rRNA from 1 species
UCAAGAUAAAACACGCAGACAGUGGAUGCCUAGGUCUUGCACACCGAAGAAGGACGUACAUAGCGGCGAAACGCGUCGGGUAGGAGCUACGAUCCUAUGAUCCGGCGGUGUCCGAAUAGGGAAACCUGGCCUCCGUAACUGGAGGUCGCCAAUGCACCAAGUCAAUUGCUUUGCAAUAGUAUUAAUGCAUUAGGAGGGAACCAUCCGAACUGAAACAUCUCAGUAAGAUGAGGAAAAGAAAUCAAACGAGAUUCCGUUAGUAGCGGCGAGCGAAACCGGAGGAGCCUAAAUCAGGAAGCUUCAUUCGCAAGAAUGGGGUUACUUGAAGUUGCAGGACUCAGACAUGGCAUUGAAGAUAUAUAGCAGAACACUCUGGAAUGGGUGGUCAAAGAGAGUGAAAACCUCGUACGCGAAAUAUCAUCUUCAGCUUAUGAGUAUCCUAAGUAUCCCGGUGAAAAGACAUCGGGAGAAACCGGGGGAGCCAUCCUCCAAGGCUAAAUAUGCUGCAGGAACCGAUAGUGAACUAGUACCGUGAGGGAAAGGCGAAAAGAAGGGCGAGACGCCCAGUGAAAUAGAACCUGAAACUGUCUGCGGACAAACCGAGAGAGCCCCGUAAGGGGUGAUCUCGUGCCUAUUGAAGAAUGAACCGACGAGUUACUCCGAACUCUCCAGUCUAACCAAGUAAACUUGGGAAGGCAUAGCGAAAGCGAGUCCGAAUAGGGCGCAUAUUGGAGAGCGGAGUAGACCCGAAACCCGGUGAUCUAUCCAUGAGCAGGGUGAGUGCCAUAGAAGUAUGGCAGGAGGCCCGAACCCGUGAUUGUUGCAAUAAUCUGGGAUGACUUGUGGAUAGGGGCAAAAUACCAACCGAACCGGGAGAUAGCUGGCUCUCCCCGAAAGGUCUUUUGGGACCGUGGCGAUGAAAAAUGCAAGAAUGGUAGAGCACUGGAUGGGCUGCUGAGGGUAACCGAGGCACUCCAAUCAAACUCCGAAUAGUUUUGCAUCCGCGUCGCUAGACAGUCUUAUCGGGCUAAGCUGAUAAGACAAAAGGGAAACAACCCAGACUACCAGCUAAGGCCCCUAAAUUUAUGCUCAGUGUUAAAGGAAGUGAAGUGACACAGACAGCCAGGAAGUUGGCUUAGAAGCAGCCACCUUUUAAAGAUAGCGUAACAGCUCACUGGUCAAGUCACUUUGCGCCGAAGAUUUCGCGGGGCUUAAGCAUAAUGCCGAAGCUGUAGAUUUGCGUCGCAAGACGUGAGUGGUAGGGGAGCGUUCCAUGUGCGGUGAAGGUGUGUCGUAAGGCAUGCUGGAGCGCAUGGAAGUGAGGAUGUCGGUAUGAGUAGCGCACAAGAAAGGUGAGAAUCCUUUCCGCCGAAAGCCCAAGGUUUCCACAGCAACGUUCGUCGUCUGUGGGUAAGUCGGCUCCUAAGACGAGGCCCAAAGGGCGUAGUCGAUGGACAACUGGUGAAUAUUCCAGUACUUGAGUGCAUACGUUAUUGAGCUUAGGAUCGACGGUGUAAACAGAAUCAAGCCCCUUCGUGAAGUGGGGUGCAGAAGCUGCGAUAGAGUUUAUUGGAAAACCCGUAAACUCGUUUAAUUGUGGUGGUGCAAAGUAUCCCGAGAGGGAAACGAUUUGAUUUAAUAGCAUCCAAGAAAACAUCCGUAGCGAGUAUGCAAUUAAGCCGUACCGCAAACCGACACAGGUGGGCAGGUCGAGUAGACCAAGGUGAGCGAGAGAAGGAUCGUUAAGGAACUCGGCAAAAAAACUACCCGUAACUUAGGGAGAUGGGUUACCUUGCGCAAGCAAGGUUGCAACUAACGUUUAUUAGCCGACUGUUUAUCAAAAACACAGGUCCGUGCAAAAGCGAAAGCUUAGGUAUACGGGCCGACGCCUGCCCAGUGCUGGUAAGUUAAAUGGAUGGGUGCUUUCCAAAUUCGUUUGGAAUGAUGCUCUGAAGUGAAGCUCCAGUAAACGGCAGCAGUAACUAUAACUGUUCUACGGUGAAAUAAUUCGCCGCCGUAGUAAAAUCUGGCUAUAUGCUGGAAACACUCACGAAUCUGACAGUACUUAAAGUAAUUUAAGUAACAAUCUGUUCAGUCGAGUCAAUCAGCAGGAAAGACUUGAGAAAUCAAGAAUCCUCAGAGACUAUACGCCAGACGCUCAAAAUUUAAUUUUGAGUGAUGAUAUAGUCCGAACUUUAUGGCGACAUAAAGAUUUUGCAAAAGCGUGCAAAUAACAACAAAGCGUGACACAAAUAGUGUUAGAUGAGCGAAGUUCCUUGUCGGGUAAGUUCCGACCCGCACGAAUGGCGUCACGAGCUAAUAACUGUCUUAACGAUUCACUCGGCGAAAUUGCGGUGGCUGUGAAGACGCGGCCUAAUUCCACCAGGACAAAAAGACCCCGUGAAGCUUUACUGUAGGCUAGCAUUGAUGGGGAUGUUUUAACUGUUUAGUGUAGGAGGGAGCCUUCGGGCGACAAUGAAACACCUCCCUUUGAAAUAUCACUCAUCUUACCCAAGGGCCCUAGACGGGUCCGGGGAAAGUGUUAGUUUGGCAGUUUUACUGGGGCGGUACCCUGCCAAAGUGUAACGCAGGGACACAAAGGUACUCUUACCACGGAUGGAAAUCGUGGUGUAAGCGUAAAGGUAUAAGAGUGCUUGACUGCAAGAGCGACGGCUCAAGCAGGUACGAAAGUAGGUCUUAGUGAUCCUCCAUGCCGAUAUGGAAUCGGCAGGAGCUUAAUGGAUAAAAGCUACUCCGGGGAUAACAG